rnacentral:rRNA from 1 species
AGAGUUUGAUCCUGGCUCAGGAUGAACGCUGGCGGUAUGCCUAACACAUGCAAGUCGAACGAUGUCUUCGGACAUAGUGGCGGACGGGUGAGUAACGCGUGAGAAUCUGCCUCUAGGAUGGGGAUAACGGUUGGAAACGACCGCUAACACCCAAUAUGCCGUAAGGUGAAAAAUUUAUUGCCUGGAGAGGAGCUCGCGUCUGAUUAGCUAGUUGGUGGGGUAAGAGCUCACCAAGGCUUCGAUCAGUAGCUGGUCUGAGAGGAUGAGCAGCCACACUGGGACUGAGACACGGCCCAGACUCCUACGGGAGGCAGCAGUGGGGAAUUUUCCGCAAUGGGCGAAAGCCUGACGGAGCAAUACCGCGUGAGGGAGGAAUGCCUUUGGGUUGUAAACCUCUUUUCUCAGGGAAGAAGAUCUGACGGUACCUGAGGAAUAAGUAUCGGCUAACUCCGUGCCAGCAGCCGCGGUAAUACGGAGGAUGCAAGCGUUAUCCGGAAUCAUUGGGCGUAAAGCGUCCGCAGGUGGUUUCCAAAGUCUGCUGUUAAAGACUGGAGCUCAACUCCGGAACGGCGGUGGAAACUUGGAAACUAGAGUUCGGUAGGGGUAGCAGGAAUUCCCAGUGUAGCGGUGAAAUGCGUAGAUAUUGGGAAGAACAUCGGUGGCGAAGGCGUGCUACUGGACCGUAACUGACACUCAGGGACGAAAGCUAGGGGAGCGAAAGGGAUUAGAUACCCCUGUAGUCCUAGCUGUAAACGAUGGAAACUAGGUGUGGCUUGUAUCGACCCGAGCCGUGCCGUAGCUAACGCGUUAAGUUUCCCGCCU